GACGAACGCUGGCGGCGUGCCUAAUACAUGCAAGUCGAGCGAAGCGGGCACGGGUGAGUAACACGCGGAUACCCCUCUAUAUGACUGGGAUAACUCCGGGAAACCGGAGCUCAAUCCGACACUUAUGCUUGGAUCCGCGCUGCAUUAGCUAGUUGGUGAGGUAACGGCUUACCAAGGCAACGAUGCAUAGCCGACCUGAGAGGAUGAUCGGCCACACUGGAACUGAGACACGGUCCAGACUCCUACGGGAGGCAGCAGUGGGGAAUCUUCCGCAAUGGACGAAAGCCUGACGGAGCAACGCCGCGUGAGUGAUGAAGGUCUUCGGGUCGUAAAGCUCUGUUAUUAGGGAAGCGGUUCCUAAUCAAAAAGGCACGGCUAACUACGUGCCAGCAGCCGCGGUAAUAC
rnacentral:rRNA from 1 species